AUCUGCAAGGAAGAGGGCCACGGUGCGUGGCGCUGCAAGAAACGGUUCGACAAAAGCUUCAACAACAAUGUCCGCAACCCCGCUGGCAGCGGCGGUGGUGGUGGACGCGGCAAUGGUGGGCGUGGUGGCGGCGGCGGGGGCGGCAACUCUCGCGCUGCUAAUUCUGCCCACUCCUAUGGUGUGGAUACUAACUGGUAUCUGGAUACUGGUGCCACGGGCCAUGUCACAGGCAAACUGGAGAAGCUAGCUGUCCACGAUCGCUACACCGGCACCGACCAAAUCCACACGGCUAGUGGUCAAGGAUCAGGCUACCCAGAAAACAAUUCUGCAAAACAAGAGUAG
rnacentral:rRNA from 1 species